rnacentral:lncRNA from 1 species
CCACCUCUGCAGGGGUGCGUCUGGAGGAGGUGGACCAGCCACCAACCUUACCCAGUCAAGGAAGUGGAUGGCCAUGUUCCCACAGCCUGAGUGGCUGCCACCUGAUGGCUGAUGGAGCAAAGGCCUUAGGAAAAGCAGAUGGCCCUUGGCCCUACCUUUUUGUUAGAAGAACUGAUGUUCCAUGUCCUGCAGCGAGUGAGGUUGGUGGCUGUGCCCCCAGCUCCUGGCACACCCUCGCAGAGGUGACUGGUUGCUCUUUGAGCCCUCUUAGCCUUGCCCAGCAUGCACAAGCCUCAGUGCUACUACUGUGCUACAAGUGGAGCCAUAUAGGGGAAACGAGCAGCCAUCUCAGGAGCAAGGUGUAUGCUGCCUUUGGGGGCUCCAGUCCUUGCCUCAAGGGUCUUAUGUCACUGUGGGCUUCUUGGUUGCCAAGAGGCAGACCAUAGGCCGUCUUGAGAAGGACUUUAUGUUCAAGUGCAGAAAGCAGCCAGGAUUACCACCCUCGGGACUCUGCCUUCUGUGGCCCUGGCCAAACUUAGAAUUUGGCCGUAGACAGGACAAGCUCACUUGGAGUAGCGUGUCUGUAGCUGGGGUCUGUGCAUGCCAGGCAAGGCCAAGCUGGCUCAAAGAGCAACCAGCCACCUCUGCAAGGGUGCACCUAGAGCAGGUGGAGCAGCCACCAGCUCACCCACUCCAGGAAGCCGGGGUAGCCAGGUUCCCAAAGCCUGAGUGGGUGCCACCUAAUGGCUGAAGAAACAGAGGCCUUAGGAAAACCAGAUGGCACUGUGGCCCUACCUUUAUGGUAGAAGAGCUGAUUUAGCCUGACUGGCAGCGUGUGAGGUUGAUGGCUGGUCUGCCUGCUGCUGGCACAUCCGUGCAAAGAUAGCUGGUUGCCCUUUGAGCCAGCUUGCCCUUGCCCAGCAUGCACAAGCCUCAGUGCAACAACUGUGCUGCAAAUGGGGCCAUAUAGAGGAAAGGAGCAGCUGGCUCUGGAACAUGGUGUGCACUCCCUUUGGGCCUUCAGUCCAUGUCUCAUGGGUCGUAUGACACUGCGGGCUUGUUGGUUGCCAAGAGGCAGACCACAGGUCAUCUUGAGGAGGACUUUAUGUUCCAGUCCAGAAAGCAGCCAGUGGUACCACCCAGGGGACUUGUGCUUCUGUGGCCCAGGCCAGACGUAGAAUUUGACAAAGUCAGGACGGUCUCAGUCAGAGCAGCAUGUCGGUCCCCGGGGCCUGUGCAUGCCAGGCAAGGCCAAGCUGGCUUAAAGAGCAAGCAGCCACCUCUGUUAAGGGUGUGCCUGGAGCAGGUGGAGCAGCCACCAACCUCACCCACUGAAAGAAGCAGGGAUGGCCAGGUUCCAACAUCCUGGGUGGCUGCCAGCUGAUGGAGCAGAGGCCUGAGGAAAAGCAGAUGGCACUGCUUUGUGGUGCUCUUCUUUGUCUCUCUUGAUCUUUUUCAGUUAAUGUCUGUUUUAUCAGAGACUAGGAUUGCAAACCCUGCUCUUUUUUGCUUUCCAUUUGCUUGGUAAAUAUUCCUCCAUCCCUUUAUUUUAAGCCUAUGUGUGUCUUUGCACAUGAGAUGGGUCUCCUGAAUACAGGACAACAAUGGGUCUUUACUCUUUAUCCAACUUGCCAGUCUGUGUCUUUUAACUGGGGCAUUUAGCCCAUUUACAUUUAAGUUUAGUAUUGCUACAGGUGAAAUUUAUCCUGUCAUGAUGUUGCUAGCUUUUUAUUUUUCCCAUUAGUUUGCAGUUUCUUUAUAGUGUCAAUGGUCUUUACAAUUCGAUAUGUUUUUGUAGUGGCUGGUACUGGUUUUUCCUUUCUACGUUUAGUGUCUCCUUCAGGAGCUCUUGUAACACAAGAAUGUGGAUUUAUUUCUUGUAAGGUAAAUAUGUGGAUUUAUUUCUUGGGACUGUAUUCUAUGGCCUUUACCCCAAGAAUCAUUACUUUUUAAAAUGCAAUUCAAAUUAGCAUAAAACAUUUACAGCCUAUGGAAAGGCUUGUGGCAUUAGAAUCCUUAUUUAUAGGAUUAUUUUGUGUUUUUUUGAGAUAUGGUCUUUGUCAUCGAGGCAGAAGUGCCGUGGUUUGAUCAUAAUUCACCACAGCCCUGAACUCUUGAGUGCAAGCCAUCCUUUUGCCUUAAUCUCCCAACCAGUUGGAUCUACAAGCAUAAGGCAUCAUGCGUGGCUAAUUUUUUCACGUUUUUUUUUUUUUUUUUUUUUUUUUGUCGAGAUUAUGGUAUCACUAUGUUGCUCUGGCUGAUCUCAAAUGUUUGACCUCAAGGGAUCUUUCUGCCACAGCCUCCUUAAGUGCUAGGAUUAUAUGCAUGAUACACCAUGCCUAUUGUAGAGUAUUACAUUAUUUUCAAAGUCUUAUUGUAAGAGCCAUUUAUUGCCUUUGGCCUAAAUAACUCAAUAUAAUAUCUCUGAAACUUUUUUUUGACAAAUUUUGGGGCAUGAUGAUGAGAGAAGGGGGUUUGAAACUUUCUAAUAAGAGUUAACUUAGAGCCAUUUAAGAAAGGAAAAAACACAAAUUAUCAGAAAAACAAAAGUAAGAUCAAGUGCAAAAGUUCUGUGGCAAAGAUGAUGAGAGUAAAGAAUAUAUGUUUGUGACUCAUGGUGGCUUUUACUUUGUUCUUGCAUUUCUGAGUACGGGUUAACAUUUAAAGAAUCUACAUUAUAGAUAACAUUUUAUUGCAAGUAAAUGUAUUUCAAAAUUUGUUAUUGGUUUUGUAUGAGAUUAUUCUCAGCCUACUUCAUUAUCAAGCUAUAUUAUUUUAUUAAUGUAGUUCGAUGAUCUUACAGCAAAGCUGAAAGCUGUAUCUUCAAAAUAUGUCUAUUUGACUAAAAAGAAGUUAUUCAACAGGAGUUAUUAUCUAUGAAAAAAAUACAACAGGAAUAUAAAAAACUUGAAGAGGAUAAGAAGAUGUUGGAAAAAGUAAUAUUAAAUCUUAAAAAACAUAUGGAAAGUACACAUUGGUGAAGACACAUUGGUGAAGUACAAAAAUAUAAAUUGGAUCUAGAAGAAAGGGCAAUUCAGGCAAUAGAAAAAUUAGUAGAAAUCCCUUUAAAGGUUAGUUUGUAAAAUCAGGUAAGUUUAUUUAUAAUUUGCUUUCAUUUAUUUCACUGCAAAUUAUAUUUUGGAUAUAUAUAUAUAUUGUGCUUCCUCUGCCUGUCUUACAGCAAUUUGCCUUGCAGAGUUCUAGGAAAAAGGUGGCAUGUGUUUUUACUUUCAAAUAUUUAAAUUUCCAUCAUUCUAACAAAAUCAAUUUUUCAGAGUAAUGAUUCUCACUGUGGAGUCAUUUGAUUAUUAAGACCCGUUGGCAUAAGAUUACAUCCUCUGACUAUAAAAAUCCUGGAAGAAAACCUAGGAAAUAUUCGUCUGGACUUUGCACUUGGCAAUGAAUUUAUGGGUAACCACUGAUCCACUUCCAGUCACUAUCCAUGAGUUUUUAUUUCCAAAUACAUGAAAUCAUAUGAGUUGAAACUUUCUUUUGAUUGAGCAGUUUGGAAACCGUCUUUUUGUAGAAUCUGCAAGUGGAUAUUUGGAACCCUUUGAGGCCUAUGCUGAAAAAAGAAAUAUCUUCACUACAUGAUGACCACCAGCAGCAGCUGGGGAAACCAGCACCCUGUGGAAUUCCAUACGGUGCAUAGAAUACAUCCUCCCUUCAGUCGGCUUGGGUCAACUUAGGUCAUGGGCCACCUGGCUGAUAGCAGUUUCCACAGAAAUGCUUCAAGAUGAAAGUGGAUGACCGGGCCACCCUCCACCACUGCCCUGUAAGACCAUGGGACACACAGGCCACCAGUUCUUUUCAUGUGGUCAUCCCCUGUUAGAUGGGAGAAAAUACACCUGCCUCAUUUUUGUACCUUCUGUGUGAACAUUCCACGGCAGAGCUUCACUAAAUGUGUGAUGAAGAAUUGAAUGAAUGAAUGAAUAUGAGAGAAAAUGAAUAAAUGGUUCAGAUCCUGGGCUGGAAGGCUGUGUAUGAGGAUGGUGGGUAGAGGAGGGUCUGUUUUUCUUGCCUUUAAGUCACUAAUUGUCACUUUGGGGCAGGAGCACAGGCUUUGAAUGCAGACCGACUGGACUUUAAUUCUGGCUUUACUAGUUGUGAUUGUGUGACCUUGUGCAAGUUACUUAAACCCUCUGUGCCUGUUUCUUUAUCUGUAAAAUGGAGAUAAUAAGAUGUCAAAGGACUGUGGUAAGAAUUAAAUGCUUUAAAAAAA